GCUGUAGCUCGGAGGCAGAACAUUUGCUUUGUAUGCAGAAGGUCUCGGGUUCAAUCCCUGGCAUCUCCA